rnacentral:rRNA from 1 species
UCCACCCUUUCGGGGGUGAGGCGAGUGGCGGACGGGUGAGUAACACGUGAGUAAUCUGUCCCUGUGUGGGGGAUAACCCGGGGAAACUCGGGCUAAUACCGCAUGGGCGGCUGGCAGGAUCUGCCGGCUGGGAAAGGUGGCCUCUUUACAAUGCUGCCAUGCAGGGAGGAGCUCGCGGGCUAUUAGCUAGUUGGUGCGGUAACGGCGCACCAAGGCAGCGACGGCUACGGGGUCUGAGAGGACGACCCCGCACAUUGGAACUGAGACACGGUCCAGACUCCUACGGGAGGCAGCAGUGGGGAAUUUUGGGCAAUGGCCGAAAGGCUGACCCAGCGACGCCGCGUGUGGGAGGAAGCCCUUCGGGGUGUAAACCACUGUCAGGGGGGACGAAUGUACGGGGAGGGAAUACUUCUUCGUAGUGACGGUACCCCCAAAGGAAGCACCGGCUAACUCUGUGCCAGCAGCCGCGGUAAUACAGAGGGUGCAAGCGUUG